CUUGCCCAAUUUGUUUUACAUGCUCAACAGUCAUUAUUUGGAUGAACCAAUCAUGGAGAUGGGUUAAUAUUGAUAGAUCUUCCAGGAAAUAUGUCAAAGCUUUUCCACUCAGUUCUGCAGACUCAGGCAGUUUGGUUAGCUCUCCACAUUGAGCGAGAAGUUAAUAUUGGCUUUGCCGUGGAGUUUUUCACUUCUAGGUGUAUGAAAGAUGAGUCUUUCCUCUUGCUUUCCCCACUGACCUCUGCUUGAAGGAUUGCAUUUUUCCUGGAUAUGUGGAUCUGACAUCAGCCACGUUUGUAUGGCCACGCUCAGCUGAGACACCAAGGUGCAGGAUUUCAGCUGGCAUGAGCCCAACCAUAUCAGCACUGCAGACCCAGCUGAGCUUAAUUGAACUGUGCUGGAAACCCAAAAGUGAUGGAGCUGCCAGGGAAACAACACAGGUUCCUGCAAUGGAGAAGACCCAGUGACAGGAAGAACCUCAAAAUGUUUU